AGUGAACGCUGGCGGUAGGCCUAACACAUGCAAGUCGAACGAGUGGCGGACGGGUGAGGAAUACAUCGGAAUCUACUCUGUCGAGGGGGAUAAGGGAGGGAAAAUUACGCUAAUACCGCAUACGAUUGAAUGAGCCGAUGUCGGUUUAGCUAGUUGGGGGGGUAAAGGCCCACCAAGGCGACGAUCCGUAGCUGGCCUGAGAGGCUGAUCAGCCACACUGGAACUGAGACACGGUCCAGACUCCUACGGGAGGCAGCAGUGGGGAAUCUUGGACAAUGGGCGCAAGCCUGAUGCAGCCAUGCCGCGUGUAUGAAGAAGGCCUUCGGGUUGUAAAGUACUUUCAGCGGGGAGGCGUUACCCGCAGAGGAAGCACCGGCUAACUCCGUGCCAGCAGCCGCGGUAAUUC
rnacentral:rRNA from 1 species